CCGCCGGCGACCGGCGCACGGGUGAGUAACACGUAUGCAACCUGGCCGUGACAGAUGGAUAACCGGGAGAAAUCCCGCCUAAUACAACAUAAUGCCGGGAGGGGACAUCCCCUGCCGGCCAAAGGGGGCGACCCCGGUCACGGAUGGGCAUGCGGCGCAUUAGGUAGUUGGUAGGGUAACGGCCUACCAAGCCGACGAUGCGUAGGGGUUCUGAGAGGAAGGUCCCCCACAUUGGUACUGAGACACGGACCAGACUCCUACGGAAGGCAGCAG
rnacentral:rRNA from 1 species